rnacentral:pre_miRNA from 1 species
CAACUACUCCCUCUGUCCCAAAUUUCUUGUCUUAGAUUUGUCUAGAUACGGAUGUAUCUAAUACUAAAAUGUGACUAGAUACAUCCGUAUCUAGACAAAUCUAAGACAAGAAUUUUGGGACGGUGGGAGUACUUU